ACCCCCGGGGGACACACCUAGCGCCUUCUAAGCGCUUGGCCGCAGGUUCGAGUCCUGCCGGGGGCGCCA
rnacentral:tRNA from 1 species